UUCAUGCCCGAACUGCCAUGCCAGGACUCACCUCGGGAGGUUGGUUUAGUGGGAGUAGAUCUCUCCUGCAGCUCAGGGCUCAUCCUUCACUUGGAGGACUCCCUGUGAGGCUCCAGACCAUAGAGCUUGGCCUCUGGCUUCAUGCAAGCCACCAUUCUGCAAUGUCCGGCUGGAGAAGAGAUGCAGGAAGGAAGGGAGAACUGUCUUUAAAAGCAGUAAGGGACACACCAUGACACCUCCUCAACAUCUGCAGGGAGAUGAAACUAGAUGGACUAGACGGCCUUCAGAGGUCCCUUCCAACUCUAAGGAUUCUAUGAAACACACAACCAUCUCCAAACCAUCACGCUCAUUACACUUCACACAUGCUGCCAGAGCUGAGGAGGUUAAGGAAUUCCCAGCUGUGUGAGCCCACGAGAGCCCAACAGUACACCAUCCAAGGUCACAGAAUCACACAAUGGUUUGGGUUGGAAGGAACCUUAAGGGCCAUCUAGUUUCAACCCACCCUCCAUGGGCAGGGCUGUCAAACACUAGAUCAGGCUGCCUAGGACUCCUGAUGGAGAAGAUCCCAAAAGAUCACAGCCUUGCCUUUCAGCAGAAAUACCAUUUCCCUGUGGGCUCCUGCAGGUGGGCUCCUCCAGAGCACUGCCCAGUGCAGUGGAUAAUUAACAGGUGCUUCUGGAGUGCAAGAUACAACUGCCACAGGGCUUCCUGCAGCUCUAGCAGCACUGAGCCCCACUUAGUUAAAUCUCUCUUACUUCCUACGGUAUGAAUCAAUCCCACCAUCUCUCCUCUCCACACAUCUCAUCGCUCACAGGAUGCAAAGAAGAAUCCUGGAGAGCCCAUUAAAAGCCACUCGACUGGAAAAUAGUUUCUGGCCUAAUUCUAGCACCAGGGUCUUAGCUGGGGAGAGAAAUCUGACAGCAAGAGCGCGCCUGUGGGGAGGAGAAGGCAUAGCUGUUAACUACUUCACCAAUCUAAUGUAUAGCACUCUCCAAGAGCAAUUAAUAAUUAAUAUUCGUAGCCUGCUUAAAUCUGUUGACUCCGUAAACCACAGCCUCUCACUUAAAGGACUCUUGGAAUGCUGAGACAAACUGAAGAACAUCCCCCAUGGAGAGACUCCGCAUAAACAGCUCCUCAGCCCUAGUUUUAAUCCCUCUGCUUCUCUUUAGAGGGAUUCUGCUUCUCUUCUCUUUAUCUUGUUUAAUUAAGGAUAAUUUCCUAGGAACAGCUCUUACAGAGGUGGAUGGAAAGUCCAGCGUGACAGGAGCUGGGUCUCUGCUCCCUGCGAUGCUAUACCAGUGCUAUAACGGGAGUAGUAAGGCACUGGGUUGGUACAGGAUGCUGAAGUCACUAAGUCCAAUGCCCCUCAAAGGAUACGUUCAGAUGUUCCCAGGCCACACACACAUAGCAGAGCAAAGCUUUGCAGGACAACAGGGGAAGCUCUGUAGCACUGGUUACCCUACAGAUGGACAAACGCUGCCGACAGAUGGUAGUCUUGUCUCCUUUCAGGCACCUGGGAUUAUCAGCCAAGGUAGAUUAUCAGAUUUAAGGGUUUGUAAAUAGAUUUAUCAGAUUCUGGAGUUGGGCUUAUUGCCUCAAAGAUGAGCGAGCACUUUCUGAAGACCAAAAUGAAUCACUAGAGCAUUGCAGCUCAAUUUGCAGAAGCUCCAAGCCUACCGAAGCUCCAGCUUUUGCCCUCUUUUACAAUGGCCAAGCAAUUCCAGUGGAGAACACUGAAGCUCUGCCCACGUCCCUCGGUAAUGGCUGACUCAUAUUAAGAUGAAAGAAAGGCCACUAGCCCUCCCUUAUUAUUCCAUAGUAAAUGUUCAGCACAGCUCCAUGCCUGCUCUCCACCAGCACCCAGACUCACUGCAAAUCCUGUACCACAAUGGGAGAUCACAGACAUGCAAAGUAAAUGCACGGAACUGGAAAGGUUAAAGGCAGCAAACCUCCAUUCACCGCCACCAUUCCAAAGAAUCCUCCCUCCUAUGCCAUUACCCCUAAUCCAGUUUGUCCUCAUUCAUAGCUGCAAAUGUAAAGCAGUUUCUCCAGCUCUCACCAUUGUCACCAUCUUAAUCUGAGUUUCAGCCACCAAAAGAUGCCUGAUGUCUAGGCACAAGGUCGCAGUACCUGUGAGGUCAGGGUCGUAUCAGCUCACAGCGUAGGGCUGCAUAUCAGCAGCAUGCUGAUGAAACCAGGCUACAAGGCUUAGUAAGCUGCUACAGGAAACACACACUGCAAGGCAGAGAGGAGGAAUGGAGUAGAACAGGUUUUCUUGAUGGGAACCAUAAGUACUGAGGAUCUGAUUGCCUUCUAUAGAUGUCCCAAACCAGAAGAGUGCUAUGAUUCCGGCCAAGAAUUAGGCACCUUUCUGAAUCUGGGCUAUCCGAUCACCCAGAUUGCCCUAAUUUUGUCUCAGGGGCUGAGCUGAAGCAGAGUUCACCUUUUCUUUUGACUAGACACAAGACUUGGAGAUCUUACUAUCUUUUACAUAUUACAUGUUGGGGUAAUUGAAUAUACAGACAUACGACGUGUGCUGUCGCAGAUUUGGGUCUUUCCUUGUAUGUGUGUCUUAUUUGCUCUCUUGUAACCCAAGUUUGGUAAAACACGAAAAGUUCUUCUUUCAUUACAAGCAACAUCAUCCUCUUAUCUGUAUUAUGAAUUAUAUUUAAUCACUGCCACGGUUUAAUCUGGUGAUGUUUUUCUAAGAUACACAAAAGUUUAAAUCAGUAAGUCACACAUGUAAUUUUCUACCUUAUUUUCCACAUAAACUCUACUAUUUAGUUUAAUCAGCAUUCAACAAAUACAAUUCUAUUGAAAAUUGUUUUUCUUUCAGAAGUAGAACCGAGAAAGGCCUGCUAGCUAGCAUUUAAGUGAGAUAUCAGGGAACAGUUAUACCACUCUCUUUGAAUUAAUAAUUUGUAUUUAGAAAGGAGGAAAAAAAAAUGCCUAUAUUUUUCCCUUGCUUGCUAUAUAAGCUAAGGACAACCAGUGUGAUUCCUUGGUUAACCUGGCAGUACGGAACCAAGCCUCAUCAGGACGAACCAUGGAAGAAUGUCACAGUUCCAAACAUCAGCACGUGGGGGAAAACAAACAAACCUUUCUUCCUAUUUGCCUCCGUGUUUGUGCAUAUUGUCUUUACACACUAAGCAAAUCAGAUCUUUCCUCUGGGGUCUCACAGUGAGUUAGAUAACCAACAGCUCUGGUUCCCCCAAGUAUAAUAAAAUACUUUUUUUUUCCUUUUUACCAAAAUGAGAACAAACCACAGUCUGACUUUGUAUGAAACACAUUAUUCCAAAUCAAACUGCUUCGUGUGGUCACCAGGUACCUGUAAAUAUUUUUGGUAGAUUUCAAGAAAAGGAUACACGUGACUUGAAAUCUGAAGUUCUCCAUUUUCGUUGGAACAUGAACUGGAAGGCUUCUGGAUUACAAAUCUCCUUCCUCUUCCCUCCUCUGAAAUGGGCAAAACCUAAAAGAAUUUCUGAACGUUUCAGGGUUGCUAGAUUUUGGGAGGCAGCCCACAGCAGUACCGUCAUUGAAAGACAACCCACCCAGCUUGCCUAUUUUCAGUUUAUGAAAGGAAACCUGGCGGGUCCAUAAUAUCUGCCAGGGCUUCCAACUGCUAAUGGGAGAGGUGCCAGGAGCUCUCUUGAGCAGGCAGUGGAAUUGCAGAUUGCUGGACUCACCUUACAGCAGCUGAGUGCUGUCGGCUUAAUUCCAACCUUUUCUCCUUCAUCUGCAACCUCCAUUGUAAGAUCGAUAGCAUCUCUUCACAUCCAAGCAACACAUUCUUACAGGAAGAGUUACUGGAUCCUAGCAGCAGGAGCAGACCUAAGAUACACCAAAUACACAAGGAACACGGGCAAAUGGCUGCCUUUACUCUCGUUCCUACUAAUGUUGCCAUUAACAGAUUCCCAGUGCUCACUGCUGCGAAUCCUGACACCCACCAGCACUCCCUCAAAGCAAUUCUUCUUCAUGAAAUCUCUGCUUCCCCUCCGCCCGCUCAGGUUCAAACCUACUGAGAACAAUAUUCCCCUGGAAGAAAGAUGGAGUAGGCAAGGUUGGAGAGCAUGAGACUCCUUCUGAAAGCAGGCCCACAGCCGGCAACUCUGGACAACAACAUCCAUUUUGCUAAUGACUGGAAUAAUGAUGGCAUUCUUGUUAGUAACUGUGGAGAUAACAAGGCAAACACUAGUCGUAAUUAUUGUAAAAUGUGCAGAAGGCAAUUUGGAAUAAUAAAUGUUUCAAAUGCAGAGAGCACACGCGCACACAAAAGAGCCCGUCGUUAGCUGGAGCUCUCCGUCUGUGCCAUACAAGGGCCCUCUUGAUUGCAUUGUUUGGAGGAACAUGCCAUGCAGUUGGCUUGGAUUCAAGAACGCCGUGUCCCUCUGCCCCAACAAGACAGCAUCCUUCUGCACCAACACAGCCAUGGCCCACUGCCCAGCAAGACUACAUCCCACUGCCCCUGCAAGGCCAUGUCCCACUGCCCCAGCAAGGACAUGUCCCACUGCCCCAACAAGGUUGCAUCCCCCUGCCCCACUAAGACUACAUCCCACUGCUCCAUCAUGGUAAGCAACUUAUGCAUGCUCCUCUGCUUACUGAACCGCAAGAACUCCUUCUGGAUUCCUGGCUGAAACAAAAAAAAAUCAAAGCUGAGUCAAGGCCCUUGGGAGGGGAGGAAGAAAUUAAUACCCACAGCAACAACAAGCACUGGGUUGAAGUGCUCCAGCAUUUCCACAGGGCUGUGCUGGCAGUGGUCCUUGACAGCUGCAGCCACCACCUUGCAUGCCCUCCAAGUCUGUUGUUGCAUGAGGACAUUUCUUUGCAGUGGUCUCCCCUCGCCGUAACACAAGCUGGCAUUUGAGGUGCAACAUGACUCAUGGGCAGCAGUGAGAGAGGAGAGGCAGGAAAAACAGCCAGAGGAGAAGGGUGGGGUGAGGAGUCCAAAGGAUGAGCAAAGGAGAGGAGGAAAGCCAAGGAGAAGAAAAGGGCGCCCCAGAGACUCUUGUUCGAAAAGCUGAAGAAUCUCUGCCAAAGCAAACAGUUGGACAUGUAGGGCUCUACACGUCUCUGGUUAAUUUUGACCAUCUGGCAUUUACUGAAAUUGUCUCCCUUUGUGUUUUCCACGAUGAAGUGGUUUUGUAUUCCCGCCUUCUCUCCUUUGAUUCAACAUGUAGCUUCUGUCCUGCCUUCCAGCUCUCUCCUCCCUACAGUAACUGUUGAGCAAAGAACAUGAGUGUGGGAAUGACUCCAAGGAGGCUACCAGCGGUGGAAGGCGAGCACGUGCACACACACAGACAGCCAUGACCCAUGGACUCUGCCCUCCCUCCUGCUCACAUCUGACGUACUUUGCCCUCUUUGACUCCCAGCCUGGGAAAGCAACAGACCGAGGAGAAAGACGGACAGAAGUUAGAAAGGGGAGCUCAGCCACAGAAAAGCAAGGCAGAAAAACCUUUUAGAAGCGGCAAUUGCAACGUGAUGACAGGCUGGUGGAAUGGAAUUAGCGGAGAGGAGGGCUCUGCUCACGUCCCCCUCUCCUUGAACUGCCGUGUGAUGAGAAAGAAGCCAAAAGAGACAUUUUGUAGGGAACUUUGGCACAAGUGACUCUCCUGCAACAAGGGCGAGAGACUGAAAUAAUCAACAUUUUCUGCAGAGCAGAAAUGCAAACAUUCAAAUUCACAUUUUAACUGACAGUUUCAGUCAAAAUACAUCAGCCUGACGCUCUUCAAUUAGAAGAGAUUCACAGACUCCUUUCAUUGCAUAGCCUGCAGUCCCAGACCAGAUUAUACAGCCACGCUUCCAUAGCUUGCAUUUCCUGUAAGUCAGCAAGGCUCCUGCUGCAUUCCCCAGUUGAUUGCAAGGACUGGCUUAGCAGCAAGCUUAUCCCAAUGAAAAGAAUCAAGGCAACACAACUGCAAGGCUGGGGGAACACCUCCUUGCCUCCAUGUGGGCUCUGAACUUUUCAGAGCCAGAACGUUGCGCGUUGCAAAACCUUCCCAAGUGAGCAUACCCUGAUGCUUUGCGUGCUGCUGUGAUGCUCCCAGUAGCCACAAUGCUUGCGGGCUGCAGGCAGAAGCUCAGCGGCUCUGCUGGCACAAAUUAGCGGAGCUGAAACUUUAGAUCAGUGACAGAGUCUGCCUCCUGGGAGCAGUAAAUUGCAGUGCUGGUCCCCAAAGACCCUCCUUGCCAUUAAGUGAUUAAUGAAUUCAUUAACACCUCUAAGAACACAGGAAAUAUGACACAGACAGCCUGCCUAGGCUUUGCAAAGGAUUUUUUUCAUCCUUUUUUGGAACUGCAGAGAAUAGCAACUAAUUAAGCUAUAGGGCCCGUAGCAGCACUACUAUGUUUAUCCUUUGGGGGCAAGCAGAGUGGUGAGAUUCUCUGUCUCGUGCUCUGAUAUGCUUUUAUUUGACCCAUAAUGAAAUGCUAAAAGAAGGGGUUAUUGCUAAAAGAAGGGGUUAUUGCUAUUAUAAACCCCUCCCUUUGAAAGAUGAGGGGGAAUAAAAGACAUUUACUGCAAUGGUUUUAAAUGGGCAGCCCAGGGUGGUGGUUGAGACCCAUCCCUGGAGGUGUUCAAGAAACGUCUAGACGUUGUACUGAGGGACAUGGUUUAGUGGGGAAAUACUGGGGGUAGGUGAGUGGUUGGACUGGAUGAUUUCGGAGGUCUUUUCCAACCUUGGUGAUUCUGUGAUUCUAUGAAUCACAGCAUUCCCAGUUCAAGAGUGGAAUGGUCCCAGGGGAAAACUGGAGGUAACUGUCAAGGCAAGGACGGGGAGAACUGUACAAUUGUCUCUUCAAUCCCUAAGAGAUUCCUUAAUUCUUGCCCUCGAGACCACUCCAGUGACAACCUUAUUUACUAAACAUAAUACAACCAGCAGACUGGACACAUGGGUUAGAGAGUGUGCUGGACUUGUGUCUGACACUUGCAUCAAAGCAAGGCACAAGGUUAUUUCUCAGAGCUCCUGGCACUGCAAAGCAGCUGACAAGGCAACCCUUCCCUGCACAGAGAUGACAUGCACCCUGGAUGGGCUUCCAGAUCUGGUUUCCUGCUGAGCCCAUGGUCUAGCCCCAUCAAAAGGUCCCACCUGCAGCCAGGUAAGGUGAGCUGUCCUGUGAAGGAAGGGACACAUACAUUGCCCACUCUCAGGGGACAAAUCUUUAUCUUGGGCUUGCUUGCUUGCAUCUACAGGCUCUACUGCUAUGGAGAAGAUGAGAUUCAUCUCUACAGCCACCAAUAACUGCAGAAAGUCCUCUCCAUAACUCAACCAUUACAACUCUCCUUCAACCCCAAAUGGCACCCAAUGGCUUGCGCCAUGGCUUUUAGCAUCCUGUGAGAACUACUUUGAAAAUAUGGGCUUGUGCUGCAUGACCACUCACUUCUGGCAUGGGGAGCCACACCAGCCUAAGGGGACAUGAAAUGCCUUGUAUGCAAGUGUUUGCAUUACUUCAGCAUGAACAGAGUGGUGGAGAACCACCGUGUGCACCUGCUGUGGGCAGCUAUUGGGACUUCAGGAGGUUUGAAAUUGUAGAGAAUCAAGCCCAAAAGACAACUCACUUUCAAAGAUGGAUAGUAAAUUGCAGGGAGUUCAGAGAAAGCCACUAGGAAGAUUAAAGGGCAGGAGGUAUUGAUUUACGUAGGAAGAUCAAAAGAGCUAUAUUUGUAUACAGUAGUUUAGCUAAGUGAUGACUACGUGUUUAAAGGGAAGAGUUUGAAGGACAUAAACCAAAUGAGGCACCAUUAGAGUGAGUGCAGUGAAGAGAAUUUAACAGGAGUAAUAGAAUGAAAGAAAAGGAGGGGGGGGGGAAGGGAAAUCUCAGCUGCAUGCCUGCUGAUGCUUCUUGGCAGGACAUUGUUGACAGUACCACUGACACAGAAGUUUGGCAAACCAAUGUCCCAGGGCAUUUCAGGGCCCAUCCUGCACUUUGUUGCUUGCCCAUUGCACCUCCUCUGCCAAUGCAGCCUGCACCACACCACAGCACCUGGGGAGGAUCUCAGGUUAGCUCCAACCAUCCCAGCACAAGCACUGCCCUUCAGCAUGGGGACACUGAGAGAUCUUGGACAAAUUCUGAACCAUGGGAGCCCUGUGACUGCUCCACCUUCUUCUAAUCAUAGAAUCACAGAAUCAUUAAAGUUGGAAAAGACCUCUAAGAUCCCCAAAUCCAACCCCAGCCCAUCCCACCAUGCCCACUGCUCACGUCCCUCAGCGUCGCAUCUCCACUGUUCUUGAACUCCUCCAGGGACAGUGACUCCACUACCUCCCGGGGCAGUCUGUUUCAACAAAGCCCAGAACAAAGCAGCUACAUGUCUUAAAUCCACUUCUGGGUGCUCCACUGUCCUGCUCCUUGCACAAGGCCUACAGAUCUCAUCUCCAGAUUUUAAGCUCGUUUAAACAUUAUUGGAGCUACUGCUUCUUGUCUGGACCUAGUGUUUGCAAAGCAUUAACCUGAACACGGCACAAAACCUGACCCAUCUGCAUGAUCUGGUGGCAUACCAGCUUGCAAGGGACCUGCUGCCUCACCCCACUCUCGCACUGCCCUCUCCUAACUGAGAGAUGCCACAUUUGCAGAAAUAGGGCUGGGACCACAUCCAGAAAACCCAAAACUAUAUUUUUCCUUGAGAUAAUUCAGACUUGAGAAAAAGUUAGCUGAAUUGACUACAAAGUGACCUACCUCAGCUUCCCUCUAUGGGCUCACACUGACAGAUGUCUCACCAUUGCUUCCAAGAAGAGCAGAGCCAGGAGCAUUCUGGAGACCAACACCUUGGAAAGAGUCCAUGGAGAGGAACACAGGACAGGCAGGAUGCACGUCCUUCCCUUCCUGAGGGAGUCUGAGGCUAAGCCCCAUGCUGUAAAGACACAAGAGUGUGCAGGACGUGAGCUGGGAAGGACCUGGAGGCCAGAUGUGUCGUUGGACAUAGAUGCAGCUGGAUUUUUAAGCUAUCUCAUAGCUUGUUAUCUGCUUACUGUGCUAAAAGCUGCAGCUGACCAUUGUAGCAACACAUAACCAACCCCUAAGA
ensembl:lncRNA